rnacentral:lncRNA from 1 species
GCAAAUCCUCAGAAGUUUGUUUCCUUUUUUCAGUUCAAACAUGAAUUUAUGAGAAAGACACAUUGUAUGUCCCCCACCUCUGCCUGUCCAGAGCCAUUUAUUUCAAAGCAAGAAGGAUUUUUUGCUCUGAAGUGGAAGUUUAAAAGGAAAUUAUCAGCUGGCAUCUCCUGUCAAGGACCAAGGUGCAGUUGAUACUUUCCUGGGUGGUGAUGGAGAGCAGGGCAGAUGGAGGCUGCUGUGAUCCACCAGCUCAGCCAAAGCUGGGCAUGUCUGUGACCUUCACAGCCCAGGGAUGUUUCUGGUAUCACAUUUCUCAUGGAAAUCAGACACGUGGUCAGGAGUGGGGCACGCUGAACCUGACAGUGCUUGAUAAGGCAGAGGGAUGCUCCAGGGGGAGUAACUGGAGAAGAGGCUUGUCACAGACAUCUCCAGCCAUAUUCCCCUGUGGCCUUGGCUUCCCUUCAGCCUUUACCUCUGCAAAGCAAGUUGGAUUGAAGCCACUGGGACUGGAUGCAUGGAGCUGGCAGUCUUGUGCUGCCCACUGCAGUGAUAGAUACCCAUAAUGUCGAUGAUGGAGAAGAGACCAGCCACUCAUCCUUGCCUUGAAAAGCCUGCUGUUGCCAGACAAGGACCAAGGCUCACACCCCACCUUCUGUGCCAUCAGUAACUUCUCCUGAUGUUAAAAUUGUGUUGUCUCUCUUAAUAAUAA